rnacentral:rRNA from 1 species
UGUCCUACGGGACGCAGCAGUAGGGAAUCUUCCACAAUGGGCGCAAGCCUGAUGGAGCAACACCGCGUGAGUGAAGAAGGGUUUCGGCUCGUAAAGCUCUGUUGUUGGAGAAGAACGUGCGGGAGAGGAACUGUUCACGCAGUGAAGGGAUCCAACCAGAAAGUCACGGCUAACUACGUGCCAGCAGCCGCGGUAAUACGUAGGUGGCAAGCGUUAUCCGGAUUUAUUGGGCGUAAAGAGAGC